rnacentral:rRNA from 1 species
GACGAACGCUGGCGGCGUGCUUAACACAUGCAAGUCGAACGAGGCCCCUCCUUCGGGAGGGUGUCCUAGUGGCGAACGGGUGAGUAACACGUGGGCAACCUGCCCCCGGCUCUGGGAUAACCCCAAGAAAUUGGGGCUAAUACCGGAUAUGACCGCUGACCGCAUGGUCGGUGGUGGAAAGUUUUUUCGGCUGGGAUGGGCCCGCGGCCUAUCAGCUUGUUGGUGGGGUAGUGGCCUACCAAGGCGACGACGGGUAGCCGGCCUGAGAGGGUGACCGGCCACACUGGGACUGAGACACGGCCCAGACUCCUACGGGAGGCAGCAGUGGGGAACAUUGCGCAAUGGGCGAAAGCCUGACGCAGCGACGCAGCGUGAGGGACGAAGGCCUUCGGGUUGUAAACCUCUUUCAGCGGGGACGAAGCGAAAGUGACGGUACCCGCAGAAGAAGCACCGGCUAACUACGUGCCAGCAGCCGCCGUAACAC